AUGGAUCGCUCGCUCUUAAAGGAUCAGCAUGAAUCUGUUCGCAAGUCCACCGUCCGGAUCUCCUUCAAGUGGCGAAAUCCUCACAGCAAGGGAACACGAGGGGGAUCGAAGCCAGUGACUGUCGUCCUCCCCGGCACCAUCGUCUCCAUCAAGGACGACGGAUCCUGCGUCGUCAUCGCGGAUCCCACAUUCUUCCGUCAGAAGAACUGCCCUUUCGUCGUGAAUCUGCCGAUUGCUGGGGGAUACGAUGAUGUGCCAGUGGCCCCAUCUAAGAAGUUCUUGGAACAAGAAUUUUGCACAUUGGUUCUUCAGGUGCAAGCAAAUGAUUUCGUACAGCCGGUCACAUUUGAGACUGGACAUGUUCGAAUAUCGGAGGAGGUGUAUGCUUUUAUGUUCCCGCAGAGGGAUUUUUUCACGCCAACAGCUUACUGUUGA
rnacentral:rRNA from 1 species